rnacentral:rRNA from 1 species
AUUGAACGCUGGCGGCAGGCCUAACACAUGCAAGUCGAACGAGUGGCGGACGGGUGAGUAAUGUCUGGGAAACUGCCCGAUGGAGGGGGAUAACUACUGGAAACGGUAGCUAAUACCGCAUACCAUCGGAUGUGCCCAGAUGGGAUUAGCUCGUAGGUGGGGGAACGGCUCACCGAGGCGACGAUCCCUAGCUGGUGUGAGAGGAUGGCCGGCCACAAUGGAAGUGGGAACCGGUCCAGCAUCCUCGGGGAGGCAGCAUGGGGGAAUUUUGAACAAUGGGCGAAAGCUGGAUGCAGCCAUGCCGGGUGUAUGAAGAAGGCCUUGGGGUUGUAAAGUACGUUCAGCGAGGAGGCGGUACUCGCCGAAGAAGGGACGGCUAACUCCGUGCCAGCAGCCGCGGUAAUUC